ensembl:lncRNA
GGAGACUCCUACUACGGACAACGUGUGUGCUGUUGGGAGGGGCAGUAUGUAAAUGAUUUUCCGGAAGGAUAAUGAAUAUGUAGAUGAAUUCCAAGAAUUCUGCUGAAUAUGUAUGAACUUGGAUUACAAAUUUGUAGCGUUUUUGCUUGCUUGUGUGCAAGUUUGGUGGAGUGAUCCCCCUUGCACCCGGCCAGCCGAAUAAACAUACCUGCUUUAUAGCCUAACCGGGCCAUAGAGUUUGAUUCUGCAUGUCACCAUCAGCUUUGCCUUUUCUUAGCAGAAAAACUGAAGCACCUGGAAACAUUUAGGGAAAGACCACACUCAGAGUCUUUGUCAAGUUUUUCAUUGCCCUUAGGAGCUUCUGGCUUUGAGCCUUCACAAAUAAACUAUGCAAUGCAUCUGGAAUCAAGAAAGAAAGUACGGCAUAAUUAAGCUACUUCCUGUGGAGUCUGCCAUUUUAUCCACCAUUUGCACCAAGCUACUUAGAAGAAACCAAGCUGAUACCUUUGUUAAUGAGAAUAAUAGAGAAUGGGAAAUUCCUACAGAGGAUUUCAUCAUCAGAGAUCAAAGCAUUAGAAUCAGGUGUCAGGACACUGAAGAAAAUG